rnacentral:rRNA from 1 species
UACAGAGGUCCCAAGCGUUGUUCGGAUUCACUGGGCGUAAAGGGUGCGUAGGCGGUCGGGUAAGUCUGACGUGAAAUCUCCAAGCUCAACUUGGAAAUGGCGUCGGAUACUAUUCGGCUCGAGGAAUGGAGGGGAGACUGGAAUUCUCGGUGUAGCAGUGAAAUGCGUAGAUAUCGAGAGGAACACCGGUGGCGAAGGCGGCAUCCUGGACCAAUAUUGACGCUGAGGAGCGAAAGCUAGGGGAGCAAACGGG